rnacentral:rRNA from 1 species
CCUUUGUACACACCGCCCGUCGCUACUACCGAUCGAAUGGCUCAGUGAGGCUUUCGGACUGGCCCAGGGAGGUGGGCAACUACCACUCAGGGCCGGAAAGUUAUCCAAACUCGGUCAUUUAGAGG